rnacentral:rRNA from 1 species
GCCCUAGUAACGGCGAGUGAAGCGGCAACAGCUCAAAUUUGAAAUCUGGCCCUAGCGGUCCGAGUUGUAAUUUGCAGAGGAUGCUUUUGGUGCGGUGCCUUCCGAGUUCCCUGGAACGGGACGCCAGAGAGGGUGAGAGCCCCGUACGGUUGGACACCUACCCUAUAUAUAGCUCCUUCGACGAGUCGAGUAGUUUGGGAAUGCUGCUCUAAAUGGGAGGUAAAUUUCUUCUAAAGCUAAAUACCGGCCAGAGACCGAUAGCGCACAAGUAGAGUGAUCGAAAGAUGAAAAGCACUUUGAAAAGAGGGUUAAAUAGCACGUGAAAUUGUUGAAAGGGAAGCGUUUGCGACCAGACCUUUUCCAGGCGGAUCAUCCGGUGUUCUCACCGGUGCACUUCGCCUGGUUUAGGCCAGCAUCGGUUUUCUUAGGGGGAUAAAGGCCUGGGGAACGUAGCUCUUUAGGGAGUGUUAUAGCCCCUCGCGUAAUACCCCUCGGGGGACCGAGGACCGCGCUCUGCAAGGAUGCUGGCGUAAUGGUCGUCAACGACCCGUCUUGAAACACGGACCAAGGAGUCGAACAUUUGUGCGAGUGUUUGGGUGUUAAACCCUCACGCGUAAUGAAAGUGAACGGAGGUGAGAGCCCUCACGGGUGCAUCAUCGACCGAUCCUGAUGUCUUCGGAUGGAUUUGAGUAAGAGCAUAACUGUUCGGACCCGAAAGAUGGUGAACUAUGCGUGGAUAGGGUGAAGCCAGAGGAAACUCUGGUGGAGGCUCGCAGCGGUUCUGACGUGCAAAUCGAUCGUCAAAUCUGCGCAUGGGGGCGAAAGACUUAUCGA